UCUCCUAAUGUAAGCAAGCAAAAGAUUCAGUUACAUCCCACCUGUUUACGAGGCACGGAUACUGCUUGCUGAAUUGGACUACAAUCACCACUCACAUCGAGAAGUGAAGAGCAGAGCAGAUGGAUCGAUACAAUACCAUAAAAUAUUCAACAAAAAAUCAAGAUGCUGGAGGCUGUAUUCUGAGAAGGUGGCAAAAGACUACUCCUACAUCCCAGAGAUCCAAACCAUGAUCGUCAACCAAGCAAGAAAGGUCUUCCUCGACGCUACAAGCUAAGGCCUGAGGAUCCAAGGCAUUACGGUUUGCUGUCCGGAGUCCCUGCACCAUCAACAGAGGAACUUCUACAACACAUACGGACUCGCGGUGAUGGUAAAAUAAAACAUGAUCUGCCUUACAUCUUCCACACAAUAGUCCAUUGCUGAUUUGAGUUUAUUUUUUUAUUUACAGGUAAAACUUUGCCACAGACAUAGGUGUUGGGGGAGGCAAGAGAAAACCCAAAACCUUCUUUAUUUUUGUUUCCUGUGUUUUUUUUUUUUUUUUUGAAAAUAAAGAUAUAUUUUGGGGAAAUAAGGACUAAUAAUUUACAAAUGUAUGUAAAAUGCUGGAGGUAGACUUAAGUUUUUGUUGUUGUGCAGGAGUUUUAAAAUUUAUGGUAUUUUUACAAAUGCAACACAGAGUUAUGCUUUAGAACACUUUAUUAGAGCAUCAAACAAAAAUAUAUAAAAAACAAACUUAUGUAAAAUAUCGAAUAUAUACAUUUAUUUACAAUCGUCUUGGAAUAAAACCAGUGUAGUUACCAUUGGGGUCAGGGAAUUUUUCCCUUAUCCUCCAGACAACACAGCUUGGGAUUACUAAUCUGCGCCCUCCACCAAGUUUUCCAUGCUGCCAUGCUACAAAUUGUCUGUAAGCUGCAUGGCGGAACUGUCUGUUGUCCUCACCAGGGUCCGGGUCAUCAUAAACUGCUCGAAACUCAUUCCACAAUGUUCUGGCAAGGCGAAGAACACCAUUUUGCAGAAUAAACUCCUCCAUGUGUGGUACAGUUGAAAUACAUGUCUGGGGAGGCUGUUGGCAGCAUUUCUUUCCCAAAUCAGUUGGCAUCUCUGCAGUGGGAGCAUACACACCAUGAAGGUUGAUUGGAUGUUGGAGGUGUUGUGGCAGGUGGACCAGAGAGGGCAAGUACAUCAAAGAGAACACCAGUGUCUGUCCAGCACCAUGGUAAGGACGUCAAUAGCCUGCUGAGGGUUCAGGUUCUGUAUGUGUUGCUACAAAAGUGGAAAGAGAUGCUACAGCAACAGAUUUUAGGAUCAUUUAGUGUAAUUUUGUUAUGCUUACACGUUCAAAGUCUAUUCGCUCGCUCUCUCUCUCUCUCUCUCUCUCUCUCUCUCUCUCUCUCUCUCUCUCUCUCUCUCUCUCUCUCUCUCUCUCUCUCUCUCUCUCUCUCUCUC